rnacentral:rRNA from 1 species
UGGGGAAUCUUAGACAAUGGGGGAAACCCUGAUCUAGCCAUGCCGCGUGAGUGACGAAGGCCCUAGGGUCGUAAAGCUCUUUCGCCAGGGAAGAUAAUGACUGUACCUGGUAAAGAAACCCCGGCUAACUCCGUGCCAGCAGCCGCGGUAAUACGGAGGGGGUUAGCGUUGUUCGGAAUUACUGGGCGUAAAGCGCGCGUAGGCGGAUUAUUAAGUCAGAGGUGAAAUCCCGGGGCUCAACCCCGGAACUGCCUUUGAUACUGGUAGUCUUGAGUUCGAGAGAGGUGAGUGGAAUUCCGAGUGUAGAGGUGAAAUUCGUAGAUAUUCGGAAGAACACCAGUGGCGAAGGCGACUGUCUGGCACAUUUCUGACGCUGAGGUGCGAAAGCGUGGGGAGCAAACAGGAUUAGAUACCCGUGUAGUCC